ensembl:lncRNA
ACUACGUAUCCCAGAAGACCUCACGGUCAGAGAAGGAAGACACAUCACGGAAGAUACAUCAUCUGGUUGCGCGCGGUUUUUCUUCACUUUCGCUUGCUGCCGGGAGAGGAGUGGGUGUGCUUUCCAAGCCGGGCGCCUUCAUCAAGUGGUGAAAUAUGUGAACAACAUGAAAGAAAAACACAGACAAACAAGUUGUGCAUGCCCCCAGAAAAAGACUUUGCAUACUGGUGAAGGAGUUGCAAUGUUGAUAUUCUGGCUGUCCUCACAAACAUCUGGAAAACUGGGAAGAAGGAAUUGUGGAAAAUUAACAGCCAACUCAUCUAGUCCCAGCUCUCCUUGUUUCUUCUAUCUUCCAUUAAAAGACUAUAAAAACAACAACAACAACAACAACAACAAGUACAGAACAAUAAAACAACUCAAACCAGAAGUAAACAGUUUCCUAACUUCUAGGGAGGGCAUGCAGUGAAAAUACUGAGCUUAAAGCUGAGAACGGCUAUCAGCAAAUAAAGGAAUGAAGGUGAAUAGAAAUUGUUUGAAAUAGAAAUUGCACUCAUCCAGGUCAUCAAUAAAGAUGCUGAAGAGGACAGGCCCCAGCACUGAUCCCUGGGGAAUACCACUCAUGACCGGUCGCCAGCUGGAUUUAACUCCAUUCACCACCACUCUCUGGGCCCGGCCCUCCAGCCAGUUCCUUACCCAGCCAAGAGUGUACCUGUCCAAGCUACGGGCUGCCAGCUGCUGCAGCAGAAUGCUGUGGGAGACAGUGUCAAAAGCUUUGCUGAAGUCUGGGCAGACUACAUCAACAGCCUUUCCCUCAUCCAUCAGAC